rnacentral:rRNA from 1 species
AGCUCCAGUAGCGUAUAUUAAAGUUGUUGCAGUUAAAAAGCUCGUAGUUGGAUUUCUGCCUUGAGACGCCUGGCCCGCCAGGGUUACCUGUGUGAGUGCUGUGAUGUCUCUGGCAUCCUUCUGGAAGGCGUGCCUACCCUUUAUUGGGCCGGGUUCGUGCUCCAGAUCCUUUACUUUGAAAAAAUUAGAGUGUUUAAAGCAAGCUUGCGCUAUGAAUACAUUAGCAUGGAAUAAUAAUUUAGGACUUUGUUCUUAUUUUGUUGGUUUCUAGGGAUGAAGUAAUGAUUGAUAGGGAUAGUUGGGGGUGCUAGUAUUCAGCGGCCAGAGGUGAAAUUCUUGGAUUCGCUGAAGACUAACUUAUGCGAAAGCAUUCACCAAGGAUGUCUUCU